rnacentral:rRNA from 1 species
UACGAAGGGGGCUAGCGUUGCUCGGAAUUACUGGGCGUAAAGCGCACGUAGGCGGCUUUCUAAGUCGGGGGUGAAAUCCUGGAGCUCAACUCCAGAACUGCCUUCGAUACUGGAGAGCUCGAGUCCGGGAGAGGUGAGUGGAACUGCGAGUGUAGAGGUGAAAUUCGUAGAUAUUCGCAAGAACACCAGUGGCGAAGGCGGCUCACUGGCCCGGUACUGACGCUGAGGUGCGAGAGCGUGGGGAGCAAACAGG